GCCCACUAAGUAUAAUUGUUGUACAAUUGCCUUCCAAGCAGUAGGAUUAAGGUGUCUUAAAGUGGGUA
rnacentral:tRNA from 1 species